rnacentral:tRNA from 1 species
AUUCAAUUAGUUUAAUUAAAAUUUUGAUUUGUGGUGUCAAAGAUGUAGCUUGUAGUUUAUAUUGAAUA